CGAUCGGGAGUAGCAAUACUGCCGGCGACCGGCGCAAGGGUGCGUAACGCGUGAGCAACAUGCCCGUAUCAGGGGGAUAAUCCAUGGAAACGUGGUCUAAUACCCCAUAGUAAUUAUGUAAGGCAUCUUAUAUAAUUUAAAGCUUUGGUGGAUACGGAUUGGCUCGCGUGACAUUAGCUGGAUGGUAAGGUAACGGCUUACCAUGGCUACGAUGUCUAGGGGUUCUGAGAGGAAGGUCCCCCACACUGGAACUGAGACACGGUCCAGACUCCUACGGGAGGCAGCAGUGAGGAAUAUUGGACAAUGGAUGGAAAUCUGAUCCAGCCAUGCCGCGUGCCAGGAAGACGGCCCUAUGGGUUGUAAACUGCUUUUGUAUGGGAGCAAUAAGGGCUACGUGUAGUCCGAUGAGAGUACCAUACGAAUAAGCACCGGCUAACUCCGUGCCAGCCGCCGC
rnacentral:rRNA from 1 species